GUGACUCACUGGCUACCUGUAGGAAGUGAUCUGCUGAGGACUGCUGGAGGAGAAUCUUUAUCCAUCCUGGAAACAAAAACAGAGGCUGCAGAGGCAGGAGGCUGCAGCACCACGAUCAAAGCCCUGCCAAUCAGAUCACUGUGCUGCUGCGGACGACCGAGUGAAAGAUAUUGAACAGGCAGUAAUAGUGCAGUUAUCUAUGCUGCCGUUUCUAUCAGUUUACUGCUGGACCCUAUUUCAGAAACAUGGAGCUGCAGAAUUGUGAGGAGUCUGGGCUGCCAGCUGAUAAGAAGCUGUUAAACUGAAUGGAGACGACUGUCUAAGCCACACUAAUGGCAGACUGGGCACUUAUCUAGACAAAUUGCCUGCGUCCUGCCUGGACUAAUCCCUGCAUCACUGAGCCUGAAGCUGCUGGUUUUGAUGUCUGAUCUGUUGUAAUCCAUCGACUGCAGAUACGGAAUCCUCCCCCCAAUGACUGCCCCCGUUUGGUCACGCUAGCAGAACAUUCCUGCCCUGUGGCACGACAGCCUUAACAAGUAGCAAGCAUUUAGCAGGCGUGAAAUGGAGGAAAAGCUUGUAAUUUGUUCAUGCAUCUUCUCUUCAAACACAACUCCGGGAUACCUAAACACAACUCCGGGAUACCCAACCACCACAGAGGAACGUGAAUGGGAAGGGAGUUACUGAAGGGACCCCAUCCCUGACCCAGCACAGAGAGCUGCAGGACCCACCUU